rnacentral:misc_RNA from 1 species
UACGGAGACUGCAAACGUUACUCGGAUUUACUGGGCGUAAAGGGUCCGUAGGCGGCCGGAUGUGUCGGGUGUGAAAUCCUGCAGCUCAACUGCAGAACUGCGCCCGAAACUAUCUGGCUAGAGACUUGGAGAGGUGAGUGGAAUUCCUGGUGUAGCGGUGAAAUGCGUAGAUAUCAGGAGGAACACCAACGGCGAAGGCAACUCACUGGACAAGUUCUGACGCUGAGGGACGAAAGUGUGGGUAGCGAAAGGG